CACGUAGGCGGAUUGUUAAGUCAGGGGUGAAAUCCCGAGGCUCAACCUCGGAACUGCCUUUGAUACUGGCAAUCUUAGAGUCCGGGAGAGGUGAGUGGAAUUCCGAGUGUAGAGGUGAAAUUCGUAGAUAUUCGGAAGAACACCAGUGGCGAAGGCGGCUCAUUGGCCCGGUACUGACGCUGAGGUGCGAAAGCGUGGGGAGCAAACA
rnacentral:rRNA from 1 species